GGACAAUGGAGGCAACUCUGAUCCAGCCAUGCCGCGUGUGUGAUGAAGGCCUUCGGGUUGUAAAACACUUUUAGAUGUGACGAUGAUGACGGUAACAUCAGAAAAAGCUCCGGCUAACUUCGUGCCAGCAGCCGCGGUAAUACGAGGGGAGCGAGCGUUGUUCGGAAUCACUGGGCGUAAAGCGUGCGUAGGCGGUUUUGUAAGUCAGAAGUGAAAGCCUGGGGCUCAACCUCAGAAUUGCUUUUGAGACUGCAAAGCUAGAGUAUUGGAGAGGUUAGUGGAAUUCCGAGUGUAGAGGUGAAAUUCGCAGAUAUUCGGAAGGANCACCAGUGGCGAAGGCGACUAACUGGACAAUUACUGACGCUGANGCACGAAAGCGUGGGGAUCAACAGGAUUANAUACCCUGGUAGUCCCNCCGUAAACGAUGUAUGCUAGCUGUUGG
rnacentral:rRNA from 1 species